rnacentral:rRNA from 1 species
UACGUAGGGGGCAAGCGUUGUCCGGAAUCAUUGGGCGUAAAGCGCGUGUAGGCGGCCCGAUAAGUCCGCUGUGAAAGUCCAGGGCUCAACCCUGGGAUGCCGGUGGAUACUGUCGGGCUCGAGUCCGGAAGAGGAGUGUGGAAUUCCGUGGUGUAGCGGUGAAAUGCGCAGAUAUCAGGAGGAACACCAAUGGCGAAGGCAGCACUCUGGGACGUGACUGACGCUGAGACGCGAAAGCGUGGGGAGCAAACAGG